GAUCCAAGAAAUGGAUGAGAUGGAUGUGUGGAUCCGAGUGAAUAGAUGGCUAUUUCAGAAAAAAAAACACGUGUGGGUCGACCGAUUCGUCAAAUGUGUGCAUGUGUGAGAUUACGCGCAGAGUAUUCGAGAACGUACUGUUCGGCAUGUACAUAAUUCUGUAUAUACGAACGAAUCACUGACUGUACAAUACCACCCAAAUAUAUUUAUAUUUCAUGUUAAAACAACUUCUACUACUAUUCAUUUCUAGUUCCAUCUUAUUUCCACUUUAUACACAUGCUAAUCGAGUUUGGCUGUGCAAAAUAUCUGCAGUGAAAUGACUCCUUGUCCAUCGUGGUUCUUGGACUCCUACGGUGACACAGCGUGUAGGGUGCGAAAGAAAGACACGCUUGUGUUGUCGCUUGUCGCCUAUCGUGAAACUGGAAGGCAACAGAAAGAAGGGGAGAUCGUUUGUAACAGUGAUUUUCAGAGAACUGAAUCGACAGAUUUUACUAACGGCAAUAUGACGCGUGCGGUAUCGUCAAGGAGAACCAGUCCCAUCGGCGGCUCGUGUAGGUACGGAGUUUAAUGAUCAUGAGGAAUGUUCUUAUUUUCGUUGCAUCUUGCUGUCUUCUUCCGUUUUCCUCAUUCUCGAUGGAUUGCGUAACGCGCACGCGCUCAUCAAAUAAAUUAUGCGCCAUCCCGGUAGUCCGGACAUUGAAUUACGAUUUGCCACGUCGUAAAAAAAAAAGGAAAGAAAAAAGAAAUGUCGCAUGGUAUAUCACGUGUAUUUUAAAAGCGUUUACGCACGGUAGGUGCAAGAUCUUUUAACCUUUGAGCGCGUAACCUCCCGUUCGAAAUGAAUAAACUUGCAUACAGAAGGUGUGCGACCCCGGGCAGUCACAAUGAAGUACAGGAACCACGCUUCCUGGUGCAAUUUCAACCUUUUGUUGCCAUUAUUUUUGUCAUGACGUUUCAUUCUAUUUAACAUUCCUUCGGUCUGAUACCAUGCAUUGUUUUUCAGUGAGAGCCUCGCCCGAUAAUGUUCCAUCGCGCGUGAAAUAUUUCGUUGCGAAUGCUUUCUUCUUUUUCUACUUUUUUUUAUUUUUUUUUUAUUUUUUUUUUUUUGAAAGUAUCGACGAGUCCGCGAUUAAAUACAGCCGUAUAAAUACGAUGACUUUACGAUUCUUUGUUAUUCAUGACAUUCCGGCGAAUACACCACUUUCCGUAGUAUAGUUGCCGUGACGUCAUUAGUCUUCUAUUGUAUUCGAUGACACGUUUCUAUCGAACUCGAUACGAAAUUAUAGUCGCUAAGGGGGAAUUGUAGAUUAUUCUGCAACGUUUCACAGACGCGUAUCGCGAAACGUAUUUUCCAAAACUUCCAUAAAUUUCCUCAUAAAAUCUAUCGAAUCACUUGUGACCAAUAAAACGUAAAAUGUUGUCAUUUAAAAAUUUCAUUAUCGCGCCGGCAAAUGUAGGACUUAUGUAGUUGUAUAUGAUACGCGUUAUACGAGCGUAUCUUUAUGCGUUCCAUGUAUACAUGCUUUUUCACAAUUGAUACGUUAUGUACGAACGAAAUUAAAGCUCAGGGUUUUUAAUGCACACGCGCGCGUGUUUCAAGCAUCGCAUCAUCGAUCGUCUCCUUAAAUAAAAGAAGUCCGGUUUGAUUGCAUCUUCGACUGCAAUGGGGCUAGAAAGAUGGCCAGAGAGCGUAACCACGUAAAGCGCAUCGAUAUUUUCGAGUUGUAAAUUUUCACAUGUUCCUGCGAUUUCCUUUUAGCGCACCGCAAGUUGCUACGCCACACAUUCCGGCCAUCGUAUAUGUACCAUUCUUUGCUUGACUUAUCCAUUUCUUCGCCGAGUAAAAAGUAUUCUUUUACUUGCAAAUUUUCGCCAGGUAUCCUAGAAGUUUAUGGAGAAACGAGAAAGUCUAUCCAUUCUUAGAAUAUUUUGAAAUAGUGAAAGACUCUACGAGAGUGCUUCCACCCCUCUACAUCAUUGGAUUAGCGCCUAUAUAAAUAGUCCGCAUGGAAUAAUGAAAAUGCCAUGACCGGAUCGUGUAAUCCAUCAUGACGGAUUAUAGCGUAAUGACGGUCCCAAUAACAAAAAGAUUUUUCAGGUUUGUGCCAUGAAACAAAAAUCUUUGACCUGUAUGGCUGAUUUAUGGUUAAUGCUCUAGUCCUAUUCUCUUCGCGUUACGCCAAUGGGGAGGCCUUGUAUACAGGACCCACAUAGAACAGUGAAAAGGAUAAGCACAAGGGUCUUAGGUAGCCCAGUCGCUGGAUUCGCAAUUGCUCAGAGACUCGAAUAAUGCUCCAGGUAACCUAAGCAUCAAUUCUUUCACAAAUCGCACAUUCGAAUGUAUCCCUGAAUUUGUCAAAAUCAGUCGGUAUUGAAGAAAAGGAGGACAGAUGUUCCGAGUGUCAAAAGAGAAGCGUAAAUGUUACAGCAAGUACGAAGUCUAAUGUACUUCCGUUCUUCUUUCAUGUCUCAAUCGAUAUUAGGGUUCAACGUCACAAUGCACGAUCGUUUUUUUUUCUCCUCCGAUAUCAGCAAUAUAAUCCCAUGAUACGGUAAAAGAUAGAGAAAGAAAAAAUGAACAAGAUAACUUCACUUUUUUUACAAUCAGGAAACUACUGAAAUGUCAUAAAAAUGUAGCUACUUUCAGUGAAAGUUCAAAGUUCUCUUUGUAACCGCUUUUAACCUUGGCUAUUGACAUUAGCAUUGACCUUGCGCGAAGAAGUUGCGCUUUCGAGUCCAGUUAAAAUAAUUUCCUAAACUCUCGAUGUAAUUAGUUUUUAAUUUCGUUUGUUAUUAUUUAAAGAUUAAAGAAUUAAAGAAUUUACCGAAAUCAUUGUUAAAUGUAUUAGAAAGUUAUUAAUUGGGAAAUAUGUAGUAAAUUACCAUUUUAUAAAAGAAAACGAAUACGUACUGCCUUAUAAGUCAUUAAGAGAUUACAAAUUAAGAUUUAAAAUUUUUAGUUGACAAGAUUUUAAAGGUAGAAUGAGGAUUAACUAUUGAUAUAUAAGACGCUUUAGGUUUAUGUCGACAAAUUCUUUAUCCACCCUAAUGUCUUGCAGAAUUUCACAGGAUAAAGGCUAGUUUAUCGACUACCUUGAAUUUGUAUAACCAUUUUAUAACUAGCAAUCGCAUUAAGACAUUUCCUAGGAAUCCAAUCAUUUCAUUGGAUAACGUUUAUAGUCAGUUAUAUCGUUCUUUCAAUAAUUCCCCUAUAAGUAUUUCUAGAUAAUAAUUUUCAAGAUAGUAUACUUUUCUUAUUACUAUAGUUCCGAUUGAAAAUUAACGCAUGACAAUGUAUCAUAAAAAAUCAGACACUGAUAAUAAAAUACAGUACUUAAAGUUAAAAAUUGCGAUGUCACCGACUGAUAGCGCCAUCUAUUUUUCGCACAAUGCGUUGUUUUAGCUUUGUUGGAAAGGCAUGAAUGAAGUGCCGCAGUAUUUAUACGGAACCUCUUCAGAAGUGCUGUUUUAAAUUCGUAGAUAUCAAAUAAUACUGCCAGAUAGCCCUAGUCUUGAAAUCACAGAGGUCUAUCUAAAGAAGAACAUUCUUCAAUCAAUAAAACAAUUGUUCGGCGAAGAAGGAACCAAGGGUACCAUAGAUAUCCUAAAAUUUGAUUCAAAGGAACACAGAUGUGUUCU